UUAUAACUGUGAAGAAGCUCUCAACUUUACAGGAGAAUCUGCUUAGAACAACAAUUCGUUCCUAGGAGAAUUCUAUGGCGAAUUCCGGCGCAGAGAAGUUGAAGCUCUACUCUUACUGGAGAAGCUUGUGUGCUCAUCGCGUCCGUAUUUCCCUCGCUUUAAAAGGUCUCGCCAAUGAUUUUGAUGUCCCUUUCUAGUCAAUUAUGUGAACAAGAGUGUUAUUUGAUUCUGAAAUUUGGAUUCUUGAUAUCCAUAAACGGGAUGUACCUCGUGAUAUCCAUAAACGGGUUGUAAAUUUCCAGGCGAUGAGUAUUGUCUUGGCUGUUCUUGUGAGUACAUGAUAUUGACGCUAAUUUGUGGGUGUCUCCUAGAUUAAGCAAACCUACUUACAUCGAAGAAGGAGGCAAAACGAAUUAGGGUCUUAUGCCGCCGCCUCCCUCGUUUCCCUCGCCCGUGAUAAUGAUUGCCACACCAAGCUUAUCAUCGAAGAAGGAGGCAACAUCGGAGGAGGAUCGACGACGAUUAGAGGGGAGGACGAAGAAGAAGAGAGAAAGAAAUAGAUAAUCGGGUUAACUCUCGGUUUGAUAUGGUUAAUAGAAAACCAAGAAUUUUUAUAUUAAAAAUUAAUAAUUAAUUAGA